AGUCUCCAAUCGAUUAAUGCUACUGAAAGUAGCUGUAGAUAAUGUUACGUAUGUGAGAUGGUUAUGAGUAACUUCUUAUCUAGUGGUUAAAAUUUUAGUUUUGAAGAGAUUCACGAAGUCUUUACUAGUUACUAGUUAAGGUUAAAGGAAUACUUGGCCCAACUAUUUUUUUUUUUUUUUUUUUAUCAGCCUGGCUACAGUGCUGCAGAGAAACCUAGGGUUCUUUUUAUUUUCUUCAGUGCAAAUGUAUUUCCUUUUAUAGCCAUCCUUAUUUAGAGAAAUGGGCUGUGGUUGAUUUGAAAUGAGUCCUGUUCCCUAUCAUACGCAAAUCAUACAGUAAGAACAAAUUUGUCCUGUGUGUUCAUGUCAUAAAUCUGAUGGUGAUUUUGCAUAAAAACUCUUUGCGCAGUUCUUUUGUGUUGCACAUGUUACUAAAUGGGGGCCGUUGUCUUGAGCAUGUCCUUUGCAGAAUCUGCCACAAUUACUCCAGUUCACUACCUCAACACCAUCGACUAAAUAUGUAGGUGAAGCAGAAGAGGAAGGACAUCAAGACGUUCUCAAAGGGUUUUCUGGCGUUUAAGAUUUAGUCCUGAUGUAAACUAAAUUCCAGCUCAAUUGCCGAGAACCGCUGUGGUUAGGGCUGCUCAAUUAAUCGAAUUUUAAUCUAGACUACGAUCUGGGCUUUCAACGAUCAUUAAAAAUGACUGAGCCGAUUAUUAGCACCUCCCUCGUGCUUUACUCUCGCGCUGCUCCGUGUGGCAAAUCGAGCGCACCUCUCUGCGUUUCGACCACGCGUCACAAGAGGACCCGACUUCCUCACGCAUGCUUCUGUUCCUUAAUCUGUAGGUUGCAGGCACAUCAUGUUCUCACAAGAAAUUAUACUUAAGCAAAAUAAAAGUUAUCAAAAUUCAAAGAACCCAGAUCACCACCAGGCUGAAAAAAAGAAAAGUGUUGCUGCGAGGCAACCACCAUUCUGUUGCUUGCUUUUAGACGAGUAUUUAUUGUUCCGUCCAUUCAAAAAGAACAUGUCCUUGUGACAUCUCAGAUAUUGUUGUCAGGGAUAAGAUCAUUUUUGUGUCAAGAUGUUAAUUUUGGUCCGUAUCGCCUGAAACUAACCGGCUGUCCAGACAGACUGAAGAAUUGCUUGGCGAGUCCAGGAGCAUUGGGUGGAAAGUUGCUUCACAUUCCUCUGGAGUGCAGAGUGAAAGUGCUCUGAAGGCUGAGCUGGCAGCUGUGGUUCCUAGCACUUAGAGCGUCAUGCCCUCUGUCGGUCAGCUGUGCACAGCGUUAGACUCUGUUAUAACAGCUACUCUAUGUGCAUGUGUAUGAGCUCACAUGCUCAUAGAGCCUUUUUUCCCUUUUUGUUAAUGUUGGUGUACAAGUACAGUGACUUGUGUGGUGUACCAUCUUUUCGAUUUCUGGAUGUUCUGUGGACAACAUUUAACUGUCACGUCAUACAUGGAUUGUGAUUAUUAAUACCUCUGUACCUCACUGUAGUAAAAAGAAGCCUGAUUCUUCCCUGAGAAGUUGGGGUGGAAGUAGGUUGCAAAACAGAAUACAGAUGUUCAGUGACUGUUGGAAAGCUUAAGCGGCUUAAACUCUGUUUCCUGUAUGAAAUUUGCCAACUGGAUGUGUAGAAGGAUAUCAGCUGAUGUGGGCUGGGACAGACAUCAGCUGAUCUGCCAGGAUUGUGGUAGAGCCUGACUUAAUGGCUUGCCUGAACUGAUGCUACAUCUCUCUUUCUUUCUUUCUUUCUUUCUUCAUUUCACAGCAAAAUCAAAUAAAAAAAUGUAUCUAUG